rnacentral:rRNA from 1 species
AUGAAUUCAACAAAAUUUCACAUGAUGGAAGUGGAAAAGAACAAACAAUAUGAGGUGUACAAAUCACCAACUCAAGCACUCCUUGACUAUAACCCGAGAACAUUCACAGUGAUUGUUGACACAGAGUCAGAAACUAUUUCAUAUGUGUGUGGGAAAUUUGAGAAGGAUGGCAUUCUGUGUUGUCAUGCACUCAAAGUCAUUCAAGCAUUGAACGUAGAUGAGUUGCCACAAAAGUUUUUCAUUGAUAGAUGGAGACCUAAGGAAAAGAGAGUAUUUCAAGGUAAUGAAGAAAAUGCAAACCUUGAGGAUUUGGACGAGCAAAUGGCAUUCUUCUUAUUUUCAAGAAGGCUAGUUCAACUAGCUUCUGAGGCAUCAAAAAAUCCUGCAAGGAGGAAAAUGUUAAACGAGCAGAUAGGGAAUCUGGAGAAGUUAAUUUUAGACAUACCUUGCAUGCCAGAAAUGGAGCGACCAAAAUGUUCUGCUUCAGAUUUAACAGCUAUCACAGGAGAAAUAUUGACUUCAGAUAGCAAGGGGGAGAAAAAACUAAACGAUCCAGUAUACAUCAAACCAAAAGGAAGAAUCAAGAAAACAUGGAGGCGGAAAAGUAUAGUAGAUGAAAUCAUAUCAAAGCCUAAGGUGACAUGUUCGGGGUGCCAGAAGCAAGGACACAAUAUUACAGGUUGCAAGCAAAUAGAACAAGAGUCACCACAAAAACCUACAAAGACAGCCAAAAGAAAGCAUGCAAAGCAAACUAAAAGAGGAGAGCACGAAAAAAGAGAGGGAAAAUGCAAGGAGUAA